AGAACGAACGCUGGCGGCAGGCUUAACACAUGCAAGUCGAACGCCCUCGCAAGGGGGAGUGGCAGACGGGUGAGUAACACGUGGGAACAUACCCUUCGGUUCGGAACAACGCCGGGAAACUGGCGCUAAUACCGGAUACGGCUUUUGAGCGAAAGAUUUAUCGCCGAAGGAUUGGCCCGCGUUCGAUUAGCUUGUUGGUGAGGUAACGGCUCACCAAGGCGACGAUCGAUAGCUGGU
rnacentral:rRNA from 1 species